UUUGGCUGGCUGUUGUGUCUCUAUUUGUGGGACCCACCUGUCAUUUGUAACUGUUUGGAUUUUUGGGAAACGCGCUCUUUCUUAUCCAGGCCGACUGCUUCUCCCCGAACCGUCCCCUGCUUUUCCCGAACAGUUCCCACGUCUUUUCGUCGGAGUCCUCGAGCUCUCCUCCAGGUGAAUGUUUCUAGGGUUUGGAGAUUCCUCUCGAUUUCGAGUUUCCCCCGACUUUUUCCUGCGAUUCGAUUCCAGUAGCUGUGGUUAGGGUUUGUGAAGUGUUGGCGCAUCGAUUGGUGGAUGUUUUGGUCACUGAUUUCGAUCCCCUCAUCUCAAAAUAUUUCAUUUGUUCAUCUCAUUUGCUUCAUUUAAGGUUUGAUAUGUUACAUUCGGUUCAUUCCCUCAUGUAUAACUUCUGUUAUUUGACUAGAUUUUAUAGGUGGUAGGUGUUAUUGUUGAAUCGUUAUUUUUACUGACUAAUUUUUAGUUUCAAUCGAUGAUUGCAAUUCCCUGCAGUUCGAAUCGAUUUGUGUGUUCGUCUGUGAUGCUUCAUCCAGGCUGUUCUGAUUUGUGCUAAUUAGAUUAGUAAUGAUUCGUAGGUUGUUUUGCUAUUGUUGAGUGAGGGGUUGUUCUAGUGAACGAAAAUUCCAGGCUAUAGUGCUUAGAGUUUCACUAAUUUAUGUACUAGAGUCGAUUUCUUAUUUGCUAUUAUGUUUUGGCAAUUAAUAGGUCCUCCCCUAGUUUAUAUCUGGACUUUUAGGCACUCAUAAUCCUGUUAGUAGUGUUGGGUUGGGUAAUUUGAUGGUGACCCCAUUCAACUGACUAGUUAUUCUGCUUCACAUGGCAUAUGUCAUUAUUUAUAUUCCCUUCUAAGUCCGUAUGUAUCAACUACCCAUUAUCAGAUCCCUUUCUAUGUAGUUUGUUCAAAUAUUGGUGCUGUUAAUUUAGAUGAUUCUCAAAUUGUAUUGAAUUAUUAGUUAUAUUUCACUCCAGUGCAGGACAAGUUCCAAUCUAAAUUCAAAUAUUUAUUUUCUUUUUAUCCUGCACAUAUUGUGUUUGCCUAGAUGAUUCCCAGUUGUAUUGAAUAACUAGAUUAUUUCACCCUAGUGCAGUAUAAGUUCCAAUAUGAUUUUAAAUAUGCAUUAUCUUUUUAUCGUUCACAUAUUGUGUUUGCCUAUUUAUAGUGCUGGUAUAGUGGAACCUCUCACAUGAAUCUGUUUGAUCCGGUGUCCUUACAAACAAUCUGAACAAUUGAUUAAUUCGUACUUGAUUCACUGAUAUGUCUAUACCUGGUUAUGUGAGGGAGCUUUGGUGGUAUAUCCUUUUUUGUAUAUUCUAACUUCAUGACAGUACUUGAUGAGAUUACUAUUAGUACAAUACCUAAUUGGGCGUAAGUUAUAUGUGUCUAGUAUGUAAAUUAGUCCUCAUAGUACAACUCAUAAUAUUUAUUUUGGCGUAAUACUUUAUUUUCUUAUUGCUUAGAAUAUAAUUAUAUACUUUUUUUUGCAGUUGAGGUGUAGUUUUAUUUUGAAUGCAUGUCGUUGUUUCCAUGGUACUGACAAGGACACGUAAACUUGGUGAAAAGGCUUUCGUAGAGACAUGAUUCUCAUGACUGGUGACAAUUAUACCUAUCUUGGUAUUGGUGAAGGCAGUCAAGGAUUCUCUGGUUUUGGCUUGAUCACAUACUGAUGAAAACAAGACUAAAUUCAUGACAACUGUCCGUGCUUUAAGAAGAUGGUUGGAUCCCCUUAUGUUUCAAUGUUUAGGGCAGUUGACCCUGCGUGCAAUUAUGGAUUUAUCCUCUGUCCAGACUCUGAAACUGCACAGUUUCUACGUGCUCAUUAUGUCACUGUUAGUCUGGAGAAGAUCUACUUUGAUGUUGUCAGCAGUGUGAAGCUCAUGCCAUUUGAUGAUGACAUUAAUCAGCAUCGAAGGGUCCUGAAGUGGAUAUAAGGUGUGUUCUGCACUUCUGCUCUAAAGAUUUGAAGAACUGUCUACUAUUGCUUCACAUUGGAUCGAUCAGUUUGGUUUGAUUUUGCUUAUCAUCUAAUCUGUAGUACUAUUGCUUCCUGCGUAGUUAGCUGAAGACUUUUUAUGUUAUUUAAAAAAGAAUGCGUAUGUGCUUCUUUUGCUCAGCUAAGGACCUGAUCCAUUUAAUAUUAUGUCUAAUAUAAAUCUGUACAAAAUUCUAUUGUGUUACCACUGAAUCUUUUACUUUCUUUUGACCACGUUGUUUUGUAUAUAUGAAAAAGCUUCUUAAAGCUCAGAUUAUUCAUUAAAGCAGCUUUUAGUUAUAACCAA